rnacentral:pre_miRNA from 1 species
AAUAAGAUCGUUUUUCAUUUUUGAUACAAUGCUUUGACUCUUCGUUUUAUUUGAAAUUUUUUGCGAUUAAUAUUUUUAUUCUUACUAGAUGAUAAAACAUGAAUAGUACUAUCUGCGUGACUAAUUUUUUUAAUUUUUAUAUAAAUUUUUUAAAUAAGACGAAUGGUCAAAUGUUGGAACAGAAAAACGAAAAAUAAAGUUAUU